rnacentral:lncRNA from 1 species
AAAAAAACACCUCCAAAAAACAAAAAAACCUCCUCCAAAACAAAGAACAAUCCUUCUCCAAAAAACCAAAAACCUACCCCCAAAAACAAAGUCUUGAAUGGCUUUUAUAGCCAAAUUUUACAAGUGGAGUGGUUGGGGUGGUUUAGGUGGCCAAGGGUGGUGGAGUUGGGAUUGAUGGUCAGUGAAAGAGGAAUUGAGAUUGAUCCUGACAAAGUAAGAGCAAUACCCUAAACCACUCCACUUGUAAAAUUUGGCUAUAAAAGCCAUUCAAGACUAUUUUUUUAGGGGGUGGGUUUUUGGUUUUUUCGAGAAGGAUUAUUCUUUGUUUUGGAGGAGGUUUUUUUGUUUUUUGGAGGUGUUUUUUUGUUUUUUUGGAAAAAAAGUUAUUUUUAUUUAUUGGAAAGGCUAGUUUUUGGAGAUUAAUCAAAGAUCAAAACAAAAGAGGUUUCUUUUGUCUAUUCUUAUCUUUAGUUCUUUGUUUGUUUAUUGUUUUCCUUUUAAUUUUAUUUUGUUUUUUUAUACGAAAGUAAAAAUAAAAGUAAGAAGCUUACCCAUAUUUUCAUUAUCGAAAAAAGUUUUUUGAGGUCCGACCGCCGUGUACGGUGGCGCCGAUGGCGGCCCGUGGGGGUCCAUGACCGAAGCAAAGCCGGACCAACGGCCGAAUUUAGAAAAGAGGGAGAAAGAGAGUUGAGAGCUUUGUUUUAUUAUUUUAUUAUUUAUAUUAUUAUUAUUAUUUCUCAUGUAUAUAUUAUUUUUUAUAUUAUUAUAUUAUAUAUGCCCUCUCCAUAUUUAUUUAUAUUAUUACUAUCAUUAUUGUUACUUUUAUUAUUUUUUAUUUCUAACUACUAUUAUUAUAUAUAUGUAUUAUUGUUUGUAUUAUUAUUAUUAUCACCCCUAUUGUUAUUACUUUACUUUUGUAUUCUAAUAUAUUAUUAAUAUUACUUAUAUUUUUAUUAUUUUUGCUAUCACUAUUACUAUUAUAUAUUAGUGUAUAUUUUUAUGUAUAUAUAUAUUUUAUAUAUAGUAUUAUUUUUUAUUACUUUAAUUUAAUAUUUUUAUUAUAUUUGCUUUUUGUAUUUCUAUAUUUAUUAUUAUAUAGUAGUGUGUAUUUCUAUUAUAUACAUAUAUAUAUAUACAUUUAUAUAUAGUAUUAUUGUUUACUUUACUUUAAUAUUAUUCUUAUUAUCAUUAUAUCCAACCCAAUAAUAAUUCUUUCAUAAAAGUAAUAUUCCGUAUUUGGUAAUUCGAGACAAUCGUGCCCUAACUUAUUGGGUUUCGAUUUUUCUCCUUUAACCUAAAUAACGGAGUACUCUUUUAAAUCGUGACAUGAGUUUUGAAAAAUGCUUAUUCUCGGAGAUACGAGGUGUUGUUCCCUAACUUACUGGGUAUGGCAUUUCGUUACCUCGAAAUAAGAUUUUUGCAAGUAAAGGCAAUAUUCGGUGUUUGGGAAUUCGAGGAAACGUGCCCUAACUUACUGGGUUUCGAUUUUCCUCGUUCACCUUAACUAACUGAAUAACCUUUUGAAAUACACGAUUUUUAUAUAAAAGGCAAGCUCGUUCUCGAAAAUUCAAGGUGUCGUGUCCUAACUUACUGGAUGUGAAAUUUUAUAUUGUGAGACGAGAAGGUCCUUAACAUUUGAGCAUUUUCUUUACAAAGAGGGAUCGUAUUUUAAAUUCUUUUAAGUUUUCAAAUUUUCGACACUAAGACACUAAUUAAUCAACUAGGUACCAAUUUUGGGCGUAUCGAGGGUGCUAAUCCUUCCUCGUGCGUAACCGACUCCCGAACUCAUUUUUCUGAAUUUCGUAGACCAAAAUCGUUGUUUUAAUAAAAUUAAAUCAUUUAUUAAAAACCACUUUUUGAGGUGACCCAAUCACACCUCGUCAAAAAAGGAUUGGUGGCGACUCCCGUUUUCAUUCUUUUUUUUCAAAAUCCAAGUCGACCCCGUUUUUCAAUCCGAAAAAUGGUGUCAACAGCUUGGCGACUCCGCUGGGGACUUUUUCAAAAUAAGUGAGUCAAGCCACGAGUUGAUUAUUUUUUGUCUUUUUGUCGAAAUUUGAUUUAAAUAUACGAUCUUCUCAUUGCAUUUCAUUUGUUUUGAGCUAUAAUUUUCAUCAUGUUUCGUAUUUUAAACUUUUAUAUCUUUGCAUUGCAUUGCAUGACCGUUGGUCACACCUUUUAAGUGGGAGUGAAAAGCUACUCCUUCGUGAGGUUUUCACCUCCGUGCAGGAUAGUGGAUCGCUUUCGGGAUACAUCCGUACCUAUGUCUUCGUGAGAUUUUUAUCUCCGUGCAGCCAUAGGGAAAUGUAUUCCCCUGAACCGAACUCGGUCUAUAUGAGCCUAUAAUGGGUGAAGAUCGAGGAAUCUGCUGGUUCGGGUACCUUUGCUUUAGAACCAAACCCCAUGUAGUAAACCUUAGGAACUCACCUUAAGUAGAACUACACCAAACCCUAGUAGAUACCCUGAUGUGCUUUUAUUCUUUUUGAAUUGUCUUGGAUUAUAUGUUUAUAUCUGGUACUGAUAUUUGUUGUUUUACUUUGGAUGCAUGACAUUUCAACUGCAUGGCAUUUUAUUAUUUCAAGGCGUUGGUUCAUAUUCGAUUUCUAGAAAGAAAGCUUAUCAUGGAAAGAAGGUUUCUUGAUAAGGUGGAAGAUAAUGCGGCAGUCCGAAUUUGGUCGGAAACGACACAGCAAGAGAAAGGGGAUAGUUUGGCUGAAGGAUAUAUAUCAGAGCUAUGGGACUUUACCCGCAUCAGCAUAACCCAGAACGAUUUACAAGAGUUGAAAGGAAUUUAGGACCAUUGGGACGAGGAGGCCAGAAAGUUGUUUUAUUCCCAUUACGGGGACUUGCCGUACCUGCUAGAUAUGAAGGUAGAUAAGCACCUAUUCCGGGCUCUCGCACAAUUUUGGAAUCCCGCCUAUAGUUGUUUUUCGUUCAGGAAAGUUGACUUGGUGCCUACGAUAGAAGAAUAUAUGGCUUUACUUCGGUGUUCAAAGAGUCAAGUCGACAGAAUCUACUCAAGAGCCGCAAAUGUACCCUUUUUGAGAAGGUUAAUGAACAUAACAGGCAUAAGUGAGCAGUGGGUUACGGCCCGAAUUAAACAAAAAGGGGAUAACAAGUGCAUUUCUUGGAGGAGUUUGAAAGAUGUGGGUUUGGUGCACCCGGAUAUAAAAAAGAGGGUAGAUAUCUUCGCCCUAAGCAUAUAUGGCUUAGUUAUCUUUCCUAGAGCUUUGGGGCAUAUUGAUGAGGCGGUUACUGAUUUGUUCGACCGCCUUGAUAAAGGAGUUACCCCGGUUCCAGCAAUUUUAGCGGAGACAUUCAGCUCAUUGAGUACCUAUCGGCGAGCGGGCGAAGGCAGGUUCAUUGGAUGUGCACAGUUGUUACUUGCGUGGUUCCACAGUCAUUUUUGGAAAGUGGACAAAGUGUCAUAUCGGGUCUUCUCUGAAAACUAUUCGCCGUUAAAGAAGAUGAUAGCUACACCAAGAAGGGACGACAUUUUAAUGGAAAAAUGGAUGGCAAUUCUUCAAAACUUACAUGAAGAAGACAUUGAAUGGAGAGCUCCGUGGUUACUUCCAGACGAAAUUUUGUACCGAUGCGGUAGUUUUGAUUGGGUCCCUUUGCUUGGAAUCUGGGGAGCUAUUGGCUAUGCCCCGUUAUUAGUGCUCAGACAGUACAGAUCAAGACAAUUUAUACCCGCAACCCAGGGGCUGGCCGAGUGUGAAUUCUCGUAUGGGGGUGAUGGCUACAAAAAGAGGAUUCGAGAGAUAUCCAAUGCGUGGAAUCAGACUCGCCAAAUGAAGCGAUUAGCUGUAGGACCAAUGACAACCCCCGAAUAUGAAGAAUGAAGGGUCAGCAGAAUCAAUGACAAUAUCCCCAAAUCAAGCCCCGAAGGCAGUCAUUCGAUAGAGGAGCACUUACGGGUCAUCCCUUCUGAACUAAAAAUUUUAAAGCAAGAUUUUGAAAGAAGAAAUGCAAAGUUGGAAAAACAGAUAGAGCAAAUGGAGGAAGAAAAAACAAACUUAAGGUUGGAUGUAGAUGUCCAGAAGCUCGAGAUGGAACGAUUAAGAAAAGGAAAAGCUAGGGCUGAAGAAGAUCUGGACAGUCUAAAAACAGAUUACAAGAAGUUGCGAUCAUCAAUGAGAACCGCCGGGUUGGGAAAGACUUCUAAACAAUGGCGCAAGGAAGUUCAAGAAGAAAAGAACAAAGCUGAUAGAUGGGAAACGAGGUUUCAAGAAGUUCAAACCCAGAACGAGACUUUAAAGAAGAGUCUAUCAGAGAAUCAGAAAGAAAAAAGGGAACUAGAAAAUAGAGUGUCCGAGUUAGAAGAAUCUCUCCAUCGGCAUCGAAAUCGAAAUUCUGUGAUGGAAUUAAAAGCAAGCCUAAGUAGAAUUGAAGAGAUGAAACGAAGAAUUGAAGAGUUAGAAGCAGCAUUGCGAAGUUGCGAGAUGCGGAUUGAGCACAUGAGAUCUAAUGAAGAUCGUCAAACCAAGCAGUUGCACUACUUUCAGAACCAAGUAAGAGAUAGAGAUCAAAUCAUGGGAGAAGCCGUGCUUCAAAUCCGAGAGGUGGCUGAUCACUUGCAGACGUUAGCAGUACAAGCUGAUGUGUUAAGCGUGAAGUACGAAUUAGAGUCGAGUCGAGGACAGGAGCUAGCCUCGUUGCUUAGGAGGAUUAGAAUUUUGAGUUUUAGGGCUAAGUUGUAUAUGUAAUCCACCUUAUGUAAAAAAGUUUAUUUUCUAGUAAAGUUUUCAUAAUGAAAUUGAACUAGAAUUAACGCCUUUUGCAUUCAUUUCAUGCAUUGCAUUAUAUGCAUUAAUGACCAUUAAAAGACCCUAACUAAAUAAAAUUAUUUCAGUUAACCUGGAAAAUCGUCACUCUUACGAAACUCGAGCGAAGUCAAGAAACAUGGAUCAAAGACUAGAAAAACUUGAGCAGCUCCAAAGAGAUAUGCAAGAUCAAAUAAAAGAGCGGUUGGAAAAGAUUCAGCGAGAGAUGCGAGAAUCCCAAGACGACAUGAUGGCAAAGUUAACGCAACUGUUGAAAGGAGGAAAAGACAAGGGAAAGGACCCUAUUGUUAAUGUUGAAGAUGGAAAUAGUGAUGAACCCCUUUACCCUCCAGGCUUUACCCCUCUGCACGCGCAUACUCAAGCUGAAAUGUAUCCACAAAGACCCUCGAUGACGUGGCAGAAGUGGAAAAGACGAAAAUGGAUCUGUCAAAGCAAUUGGAAGACCGAUGUAAAUGGCUGGAGGAAAAGUUUAAGGCCAUGGAAAGUGCUGAUUACCACCGAGGAAUGGACGCUAAAGAUCUGAGCUUGAUGACUGAUUUAAUCCUCCCUCUUAAGUUUAAAAUGCCAGAGUUUGAAAAAUAUGACGGGACAAGUUGCCCCGAUGCUCAUAUCACUAUGUUUUGCCGAAGAAUGACCGGGUACAUCAACAACGAGCAGCUGUUGGUUCACUAUUUUCAGGAUAGUUUGAUCGGGUCAGCUGCUAGAUGGUACAAUCAAUUGAGUCGAGCUGAAAUCCACUCUUGGAAAGAUUUGGCGCAGGCCUUUAUAAAACAGUACAGACAUGUGAUGGACAUAGCACCCGAUCGAAUUGUAUUACAAAAUAUGGAAAAGAAAACUAAUGAGAGCUUUCGCUAGUAUGCUCGAAGAUGGAGGGAGGUAGCAGCACAAGUUGGGUAGUGCCACCAAAAGCUUUUCAGACAUAGUGAUGUCUGGAGAAAUGAUAGAAAAUGCCAUAAGGAGUGGCAAGAUAGAAGCAGGAGAAAGUACUAAAAGGUCAACACCGAGAAAGAAGGAGCAUGAGAUAAACAACACAAGCAUGUUUAACAAGGACCAUUCUAGAUCAAUCACGGUGGGACAAGCCAGAGCAACAACCACUAAUCAGCAAGGUUCUUCGAGACGGGAGUCCAAUUCAAGGCCAAAUAUAGAAAGACCUCAAUUCACACCCAUCCCGGUGACGUAUAAAAAAUUAUAUCAAAAUUUAUUUAAUGCAUAUGUGGUAUCUCCAUUUUACCUAAAACCCAUGCAACCUCCGUACCCCAAAUGGUAUGACACAAACUCCCAAUGCGAGUACCACGCGGGGAUUAAUGGGCACUCGAUUGAGAACUACACUGCAUUCAAGAAGUUAGUGGAAAAACUUAUCAAUAUGGGGAUCGUAAAGAUUGGCGACUCAUCAGGGCCAAAUGUAGCAGAAAAUCCGUUGCCCAAUCAUGACGAUAAUAGGGUAAACGCGAUAAGUGAGAAUGAAGGAAGAAGAGUCAAAGCCAACGUGGCAGAGAUAAAAACUCCUCUUGGAUGGGUUUGGAAACAAAUGGUAAAAAGAGGUCUUAUCAAGCAAGAUUCGAUAGAAAGGCCUGAACAAGCAAAGAGAUUUUGUGAGUUCCACGCAGAAGAUCAUGACAUCCAGGAAUGCACCGAGUUCAGAAUAGAAAUACCUCUUUUAAUUGGCCCAAAUACAUACGAUUUGGACUUCCUAGUGAUGGAUAUCAAGCCGUCAUAUAAUUGCUUAUUAAGAAGACUCUGGAUUCAUUCGGCAGGGGCGGUGCCUUCAUCAUUGCACCAGAAGUUAAAAUUGGUAAUAGAAGGCCGGUUAAUUACAAUUGACGCCGAGGAAGAUAUCAUUGCAUUGGUAACCAAUGAUACACCAUAUUUGGGAAUAGACGACGAGGCAGUUGAAUGUUCUUUUCGAUCUUUGAAGUUCGUAAAUGCAACCUUUGUCAUAGGGGGAAAGAAGAUUCCGACGCCCAGCAUGUCUAAAGCCACAAGAAUGGGAUUACAAGCGACAGUUGGGAAAGGAGCUGUGCCUGGAAGAGGACUUGAAAGAUGCCUUCAGGGAAGGAUGGGGGCACCAGUAGUGAAAUACAAACAAGGUCGUUUUGGUUUAGGAUUUAAACCAAAUACCAAACAGAGAAGGAAAGAGUUAAAAAAGAGACAAGAUAGAAGGAAGGCGCGUUUGAACGGAAAAGAAGUCGACUAAGAACCUAUGGCUUUCCCCCACAUAUCAAGGACAUUCAUGUCGGGAGGAACUAUGUAUUCUGAACUGAGGGCUCCAAGAAAGAAGACCGCAGAGAAAAUGUUAAGAAACUUAAGCAUCAAUGCCAUAUGUGAAGAAGAAUUUGAAGGAGGAAGUACGUCAGGAAUCUAUCCCGUUGAACCUGGGAGUGUUUUAAACAACUGGACUGCGGAAGAAAUGCCUGAGGUUUUUAGAGCUUUUCCAGAGUAAUAUUCAAAACAUUAAUUGUUCUAAGCCUAGAGAAAAUGAAAACUUUUAUAAACUGAAAUAGGCUUAUAUGUGGACAUUGUGAUUUCAAUAAAAUAUAUCUUCGCAUUUUGAGUAUAUAUUCUUUUCAAAUUCUUUUUUUCAUACGAAUAGUUAUCUUGAAUGCUUUUAUUCCGAAUCAUUCUUUUAUUCAUUUUCAUACUAAAUAAGAAUCCUUAAAUUCAUACAUUCCCUAUACAUUCUUUGAUACCUAUAACAGGUCUCAAGAUAUCAAUGAUAUGAGUGACUCUACUAUGAACUUAGAAAAUCUUUUUGAACGAGAUAUUUGUCCAGAGGAAUCUCAAGAUUUUGAAGAUAACACAGAUUGCAACCUAUCUCCGGACUUGUUGAGAAUGGUAGAGCAGGAAGAGAAACAGAUUCUACCCCACGAAAAGACGAUAGAGACAGUGAUCUUGGAAGAGGGAAAGGUGUUAAAGAUUGGUACCCGCAUAGCUGAAAAAGUUAAACAAGACCUCAUUGAAUUGCUGCGAGAGUUCAAAGAUGUCUUCGCAUGGUCAUACCAAGAUAUGCCGGGGUUAAGUACUGACAUCGUAGUUCACCGACUUCCUAUAAAGGAGAAUUGCAAACCAGUUCAGCAAAAACUCCGAAGAAUGAGGCCUGAUAUCGUGUUAAAAAUAAAAGAAGAGGUGCAAAAGCAAUUCGACGCUGGGUUCCUGAAGGUGGUCAAAUACUCCGAGUGGGUAGCUAACAUUGUUCCUGUCCCUAAGAAAGAUGGGAAGGUACGAAUGUGUGUGGAUUAUAGAGAUCUAAAUAAGGCUAGCCCAAAAGAUAACUUUCCCUUGCCACAUAUCGACGCCUUGGUAGACAAUACAGCAGGACAUUCGCUGUUUUCUUUCAUGGAUGGCUUCUCGGGAUAUAACCAAAUUAAGAUGCAUCCCGAGGAUAUGAGGAAAGCUACGUUCAUAAUCCUAUGGGAAACUUUUUGUUAUAAGGUGAUGCCAUUUGGGUUGAAAAAUGCAGGGGCAACGUAUCAGAGGGCCAUGGUAAUACUGUUCCAUGACAUGAUGCAUAAAGAGUUAGAAGUCUAUGUUAAUGACAUGAUUGCAAAAUCUAAAACAAAAAAGGAACAUGUGCAGGUCCUUAAGAAAUUAUUUACGAGAUUGAAAAAAUUUCAGCUAAAGCUAAAUCCAGCAAAAUGCACAUUCGGGGUCAGAUCAAGAAAAUUGCUUGGAUUCGUGGUCAGUGAAAGAGGAAUUGAGAUUUACCCCCGCCGCGUACUCAAAAGGAGGUUCGAGAUUUUCUAAGAAGGCUUAACUAUAUUGCUCGGUUCAUCUCACAACUAACUGAGAAAUGCGACCCCAUAUUUCGCCUCCUCAAGAAACAUAAUCCAGGUGUAUGGGAUGAGGAAUGUCAAAAAACAUUUGAAAAAGUCAAACAUUACUUAUCCAACGCCCCAGUAUUGAUGCCACCCUGCCCAGACAAACCGCUCAUACUGUAUUUGGCAGUAUUUGAAAAUUCCAUGGGAUGCGUGCUUGGUCAACAUGACGAAUCUGGACGAAAGGAAAGAGCUAUCUACUAUCUCAGUAAGAAGUUCACCGAAUGCGAAACAAGAUAUUCGCCAAUCGAGAAAUUAUGUUGUGCUUUAAUUUGGACAACUCAGAGACUGAGACAGUACAUGUACCAUAUGACCUGGUUAAUCUCCAAAUUAGACCUUCUGAAAUACUUGAUGGAGUCAGCCGCUCUGAAUGGAAGAAUGGCUCGAUGGCAAAUUCUUUUAUCUGAAUUUGACGUAGUCUAUGUGAAACAGAAGGCGGUCAAAUGGAGUGCAAUAGCGGAAUUCCUAGCAAGUAGGGCUCUCGAUGAUUAUGAGCCAUUGAACUUCAAUUUCCCAAAUGAGGAUUUGAUGUAUGCCGCAACCGUAAAGAAAGAUUUCCAAGAAGGUGGUCCUUGGAAGUUGAGUUUUGACGGAGCUUCAAAUGCUAUAGGCAACGGAAUUGGGGCAGUACUCGUGUCCCCUAGUAGAGAUUAUUAUCCUUUCACUAGCAAAUUGGACUUUGACUGCACAAAUAAUAUGGCUGAGUAUGAAGCUUGCAUUAUGGGCACUCGGGCAGCCAUAAAGCGAAAAAUUAAGGUGCUAGAGGUAUACGGGGACUCUGCAUUAGUAAUUUACCAGCUCAAGGGGGAAUGGGAAACAAGAGACCCGAAGUUGGUUCGCUAUCGAAAAUUGGUUAUGGAAUUGAUCGAGGAAUUUGAUAGUGUCACCUUUAGUUACCUCCCACGAGAUGAAAACCAGAUGGCAGAUGCUUUGGCCACUUUAGCCUCCAUGUUUAAAGUGAACAAAUUAGAAGAUAUGAAGCCUAUCCAGAUCAGCAUCUAUGAGGCUCCAGCCCAUUGUUGCAACAUUGACAAUGAAGAGGGAAAGGAUGAUCACCCUUAGUACCAUGACAUAUUGCGAUAUGUGAAGAGUCGCGAGUACCCUGACCAUGCGACAGAAAAUGAUAAGAAGACAUUAAGGAGAUUAGCCAUUGACUAUGUCCUUGAUGGGGAAAUUUUGUAUAAAAAAGGAAAAGAUCAAGUACUGUUAAGGUGUGUGGAUGCUGUUGAGGCAAAGGAAAUUUUGGAAGAAGUGCAUGAAGGUAUCUGCGAAACGCAUGCCAAUGGCUUCACGAUGGCCAGACAAAUUAUGAGAUUUGGGUACUAUUGGUCCACCAUGGAAGGGAAUUGCAUUAAUUAUGCCAAAAGGUGCCAUAAAUGUCAAAUUUAUGGUGACAAAAUGCACGCACCACCUUCACCCCUUCAUGUUAUGGUUUCUCCAUGUAGGGAAUGGACGUUAUCGGGCCAAUAUCUCCAAAAGCUUCCAAUGAGCAUCGUUUUAUCUUUGUGGUUAUUGAUUACUUCACUAAAUGGGUGGAGGCGGCUUCAUAUGCAAAUGUCACGAAGUCGGCAGUUAGGAAGUUUCUGAAAAAAGAGAUCAUAUGUCGAUACGGGAUGCCUGAAAGGAUCAUAUCCGAUAAUGCGCUGAACUUAAACAACUCAAUAGCGGAAGUUUGUAGUCAGUUCAAGAUCAGACACCACAAUUCGUCACCGUACCGUCCAAAAAUGAAUGGUGCCGUGGAAGCAGCUAACAAAAACAUCAAGAAAAUUAUAGGAAAAAUGACUAAAAUCUACAAAUAUUGGCACGAGAAAUUACCUUUUGCUCUCCUGGCAUAUCGCACUUCUGUUAGAACCUCUACCGGGGCAACACCAUUUUCUUUAGUCUAUGGGAUGAAAGCAGUUUUACCCAUAGAAGUUGAAAUUCCUUCUCUCCGAGUAUUAACUGAACUAAAGUUGGAUGAGGCUAAAUGGAUUCAAUCCAGAUAUGACCAGUUAAACUUGGUAGAAGAAAAGAGGUUAAAAGCUUUCGUCAUGGUCAGAUGUAUCAGAAACGAAUGAUGCGAGCUUACAACAAAAAAGUUCGUCCCAGAGAAUUUUACGAGGGGGACCUGGUGCUGAAAAAGAUUCUUCCUCUACAAAAGGAUUUUAGAGGAAAGUGGAUGCCAAAUUGGGAAGGUCCUUAUGUGAUAAAAAAGACCUUUUCAGGAGGAGCUUUAAUCCUGAGCGAAAUGGAUGGUAAAAGCCUGUCAAAUCUUGUAAAUUUUAGACUCAGUCAAGAAGUAUUUCACUUAAAAAGGGGGCAUUCAAAAAAAAAAGAAGAGGCCAAGGUGAAAACCCGCAAAAGGCACCUUGAGAACAAAUGGGAUUUGAGUUGAAAACCUGAAAAAGGCGGCUCAAAUUUUGAAAAAGCGUGAGGUAAAUGGAACGGCUCGAAUUUUUAAGCAGGAUCUGAGGCAUGUGGUGGUCUUACUACACCUGAAUCGCAAGGAGUAGGUGACAUCUUGGGGUAUCGACAAAAUACUGUAGAUUCCAAACACAUAUUAAAUGGUCUUUAGAAAACUUGUGCAGGGAAGCUCGUGCUGCGAUAUCUGGGGCACCUGUUGUCAUAUUAUACUUUGAAUCUUGGCAAAAUUUGUUGUCUUGAUUAUUGUAUUCAGUUCAAGCUUUGCUCCCCAAUAAAAUUUCAUUCUUAUUUCAUUUUUUAUCUUAGCAAAAUUUGCUAUCUCGAUUAACUCAUUCAUCUCGAGAUUUGUUCUCAAUAACAUUUGUUUGUUCGUUGUGGUAACCUUCUCGAAAAACAUUUAGAAUAACUAUUAAUAAACUGAAUGUUCAAGCAUUUGGAGUUUUGCAUAUUACUUUAGAAAUUUCUAAAUAAUGAAGGAGCCUGAAACAGAACUGUUGUUUAGAGCACACCAAAUUCAAAGUGUCCAAAAAGGAAGAGUCCAAGUCGGGACUAUCCUUUCAAAUUUUGUUGUCCAAACAUUGAACAAAAUGACAAGAUGUCGUGUUGGUGGCAAAGCUUCAAUGAACAAACAAGCGAUGUUCACCAAGUAAUAAGAAAAGGUUUUCUCGGAGAAGGAAAUCUUGCAUUUGUACAUAAACAUUUGGUAUGACACCUUGGGAAUGGUGUAGGAGAUCAAAGAGUUUCACAUUCUGUAUCCUUGAAUUGUGAUAGCAGAGGAUCAAGAAAAAGCCUUAUCCUUCUACCCUUAGUUUACGGUGGGAGAUUGAUGGUACAAAUUUUAUGUCCCAGUGGAUUAAACUUUGACGUUCGCAGUGGGGGCAAUCUGACUAAGUGUUUCUUUGGAUAUGCCAGCCGAGCAAGAAGGCGUUGUAACACGUCAGUGAUAAAACAUGAGCAAUGACAACUCAAACAUUAAAAAUGGAUCAUUCUCAUGACAUUCUGCAUUCAUUCAUACACAUCUAGUUAGAAGCAUUUGAUUCAUUCUGAUCAUGCCAUCCUAAACACUAGGCAUAAAUAGGUCCAUAAAAUGAAUUUUACAGGUCAUAUUCCCCAGAGAACAGAUCAAAAAAACAGAUCUCAUACCCUUGAAGUUGCAAUGGGAGGGAUUGAAGUCAUUAAAGUAGAUCUUGUCUUCAUGUAUUGACGUGAAGCAGAUUGAAGAUAGCAGGUCCUAUCUUCCUAUAUUGAUAGGAAGUGGAUCCAGGAUGCAGAUCUUGUCUUCCCAUAUUGGUGGCGAAGUAGAUCGCAGAAAGUAGAUCUUGUCUUCAUGUAUUGGCGUGAAGUAGAUCGAAGGUAGCAGAUCCUAUCUUUCUAUAUUGGUAGGAAGUGGAUCGAAGAUGCAGAUCUUGUCUUCCCAUAUUGAUGGCGAAGUAUAUCGCAGAAAGCAGAUCUUGUAUUCAUGUAUUUGUGUGAAGUAGAUCGAAGAUAGCAGGUCCUAUCUUCCUAUAUUGAUAGGAAGUGGAUCCAAUAUGCAGAUCUUGUCUUCCCAUAUUGGUGGCGAAGUAGAUCGCAAAAAGCAGAUCUUGUCUUCAUGUAUUGGCGUGAAGUAGAUCGAAGAUAGCAUGUCCUAUCUUCCUAUAUUAAUAGGAAGUGAAUCCAAGAUGCAGAUCUUGUCUUCCCAUACUGGUGGUUAAGUAGAUUGAAGAUUGCAGAUCUUGCCUUCCUGUAUUUGGCAGCGAAGCAGAUCAAAGAUGGCAAAUUUUACCUCUCUGAUCACAGUGGAGUACAUUGAAGCCGAUAACUCUAUCUCACUGUAUCUGGCAGUGGAAUAGAUUGAAUAUUACAGAUCUUGCCUUCCUGUAUUAGGCAGCGAAGCAGAUCGAAAAUGGCAGAUUUUACCUCCCUGUAACUACAGUGGAGUACAUUGAAGCCGAUAACUCUAUCUCCCUGUAUCUGGCAGUGGAAUAGAUUGAAGAUUGCAGAUCCUGCCUUCCUAUAUUGGUAGGAAGUGGAUUAAAAACAGACUAUCUCCCUGUAUUUAGCAGUGAAAUAGAUUGCAGGUCGAAGAUGACGGAUUUUACCUCUCCGAUUACAGUGGAGUACAUUAAAGCCAGUAGUUCUAUCUCCUUGGGCAACAGUGGAAUAGAUCGAAGAUUACAAUCUUAUCUCCCUAAGCAGUAGUAGAGUAGAUCGCAUUAAGUCUUAUCUCCCUAAGCAGUAGUGGAGCAGAUAAAACUACAGAUCUUAUUUCCCUAAGCAAUAGUGAAGCAGAUCGCAUCAAGUCUUAUCUCCCUAAGUAGUAGUGGAGCAGACUAAAAACACAAAUCUCAUCCCCAUGGAGUUGUAACAGAGUAGAUUGAAGCUACAAGGCGUAUCUGAAAUUGCAGUAGAGUGGAUCGAAGCAACAAGACGUAGCAGACUGAAAUAAGGCUACUGAAAGAAGAUAAGCACCAAAAAGUCAAGACUCGACAAGACCGGGCAAAAUUGGCCCUUUUGAUGUCUUUGAUCUAUUCUCGUUACACGAAGAUAAGCAGCUGUAAAGGCCCAAUUUUGGCCCAACUUAAACCAACCUAAUCCCAACCCAAACACAAAAAAUAAAUAAAUAAAUAAAUAAAAACCUUGGCCACCUACUCCACCACCUUUGUUGGCCACCCACCUUAGCCACCAACUCCACCACCCUUGGCCACCUAAACCACCCCAACCACUCCACUUGUAAAAUUUGGCUAUAAAAGCCAUUCAAGACUUUGUUUUUAGGGGGUGGCUUUUUGGUUUUUUGGAGAAAGAUUGUUCUUUAUUUUGGAGGAGGUUUUUUUGUUUUUUGGAGGUGUUUUUUUAUUUUUUGGAAAAAAGGUUAUUUUUGUUUCUUGGAAAGGCUAGUUUUUGGAGAUUAAUCAAAUAUCAAAGCAAAAGAGGUUUCUUUUGUCUAUUCUUAUCUUUUGUUCUUUGUUUGUUUAUUGUUUUCCUUUCAAUUUUAUUUUAUUUUUUUUAUACGAAAGUAAAAAUAAAAGUAAGAAGCUUACCCAUAUUUUCAUUAUGGAAAAAGGUUUUUUUGAGGUCCGGCCGCCGUGUACGGUGGCGCCGAUGGCGGCCCGUGGGGGUCCAUGACCGAAGCAAAGCCGGACCAACGGCCGAAUUUAGAAAAGAGGGAGAAAGAGAGUUGAGAGCUUUGUUUUAUUAUUUUAUUAUUUAUAUUAUUAUUA